rnacentral:rRNA from 1 species
GACAGAGGGUGCAAGCGUUGUUCGGAAUUACUGGGCGUAAAGCGCGUGUAGGCAGCCAUGCAAGUCGGAUGUGAAAGCCCUGGGCUCAACCUAGGAAGUGCAUUCGAAACUGCAAGGCUGGAGUCCUGGAGAGGAAGGCGGAAUUCUCGGUGUAGAGGUGAAAUUCGUAGAUAUCGAGAGGAACACCGGUGGCGAAGGCGGCCUUCUGGACAGUGACUGACGCUGAGACGCGAAAGCGUGGGGAGCAAACAGG